UUCUUUUUCAAAGUACAUAGUUCAUAUAACUUUUUGAUCUUUUUAUAUACCAAUUGCUUUUGAGUUUUCAGAAGGAACUGAAUGAACGUGUCCAGUCGGACCAAAUUAUUGUUACCUUGUUGAUGUUGUAAUGCCCAAUUCUUUUUUUUAGUUAUCAUAAUACCAAAAAAAAA
rnacentral:sRNA from 1 species